GGAACCUGGCCCUGCACCCUGACCAGGACCCCUGAGACCACAACUUUGGAAGGAGUAGCAGAUGAAUGGGGGCGGAGCCCAGAGGAGCAGCUGGAGGCGGGGCCAGCACUGGGCCAGGAAGCUGGGAGACAGAGCUGUAACCUGUUGGGCUCAGACCUUCAAGCAGUUCCCACAGGAACCAGGAGCGCAACACUGAGGGAUGCUAAGCGAGAUGGAGACAGGAAGAAGCCCAUCUGUUCCUGCAAGGUAGCAUCAAAAGACGAUGGCAGAUUAGCACGAGGGCCUGGACCCACCCCUUCAGGAUCCAGUGUAGGCCCCCAUCCCUCUUUUAUACCCUUUUAGAACCAGGGGCUCAGCGCCAGAGAGGACCCCAGGGCCCUUGCUUCUAUAGAGAAAAAAAAAGGGGCUGGGGUGGCAAGGCGGGAAGGAGAGACUUGGGAGAGUUACCGUGUGGGUAGGGACUGUCUGAGAACGAGGGCAGGGGAGGAAGACUGGAGAGGAACAGGUGGGCACACAUGCAUGGGCACCCACCCUCUGGUGCACAUCCUGCACAGUGUCCACAUGCAACUGCUGGCCUGCACAAAGCCUAUGAAACCAAAGCUGCAUGGGCUGUACAUGGGAGGGACACACACACACACACACACACACACACACACACACACCCCUCCCUACCAUCUGUGUACAUGACAGACAUGUCCACACAUCCAAGUGGGCACCCCCAAAUCCGGAUAAGAAUUAAGAAGCCCAGUGAAAUGCCUCGUUCUCCAUGCCCAAAGAUAAAUAAUUCAUUUGUUGUGUAACUGCUCCUGUUCCAAAAAUAAUUCCC
rnacentral:lncRNA from 1 species